rnacentral:rRNA from 1 species
GAUGAACGCUGGCGGCGUGCCUAAUACAUGCAAGUCGAGCGAACAGAUAAGGAGCUUGCUCCUUUGACGUUAGCGGCGGACGGGUGAGUAACACGUGGAUAACCUACCUAUAAGACUGGGAUAACUUCGGGAAACCGGAGCUAAUACCGGAUAACAUAUUGAACCGCAUGGUUCAAUAGUGAAAGGCGGCUUUGCUGUCACUUAUAGAUGGAUCCGCGCCGUAUUAGCUAGUUGGUAAGGUAACGGCUUACCAAGGCAACGAUACGUAGCCGACCUGAGAGGCGGAUCGGCCACACGGGAACUGGGACACGGUCCAGACUCCUACGGGAGGCAGCAGUAGGGAAUCUUCCGCAAUGGGCGAAAGCCUGACGGAGCAACGCCGCGUGAGUGAUGAAGGUCUUCGGAUCGUAAAACUCUGUUAUGAGGGAAGAACAAAUGUGUAAGUAACUGUGCACAUCUUGACGGUACCUGAUCAGAAAGCCACGGCUAACUACGUG